rnacentral:misc_RNA from 1 species
UCAUACACCAAACAUAUUUUACCGACUCUACAACAAAAAAAAAAAAAAACCUUAUACUUAUUAUUUUAAAUUCCCUUAAUAUUCGAUAAUGUCGUUACCAAACUCAAUAGUUAUUUCGAUGCCCGAGGAAUCGCCACGUUCGUCAGAACCAAACUGGAUGUGUACAGCGCUGACGGUGAAAGAGCGUCGAGCACGAGCGGGCGCAGAUUUGGAAGCGGGAUUCGCAAACAUGGGGCAUAGCAGUCGGCCACAUGGACGCCCCAGCGAACGCAAAUCGCAAGUGGCAGCCAAGUCGACUGCACCCAAGAAGCAUAUGGGCCAACGCACCUGAAUACGAGGCUGCACCACUCUCUCUUUCCCUCUCCUUUUUCCAAUCCCAUUCAAAGAAGAGCUCGGAGUUGAUGGAAUGGAAAGAGAUAGCAAAUAGCAAAUUAUAUGUGUGAAAAGGUGACAAACGAGUUGCUGACGUAAAUUUUUGUAUACCCCUCUAUAACAAUUAACUGCAAAAUAUAUAUAAC